GGUAAAAGUAAUUUGAAACAGUUAUUGAUAUAAACCAGAGUAUCUUGUGUAAAGCUUACACUGGCAACAUUUUUGAUUUGUCAGUCAAUUACAGCUGUGUAGGAACUGAAAACUGUAUGCUCAACAAUUACUAUUGCUUGGACAUUACAAUGAUGAAUGCUGUAGAAAUGCUUACACAUCAGUGUAAUUUAAUCUACUUUUAGGGUGAUUCUCCAUACAACCUAAGGAUUACCAGAGCUGUUUUUUUUGGCCCCAGAUCUGCAGCUGGGUGACAGGUCCUGUGAUCCAGGUUAUUCAGCAGCAUAUCUCCUCCAUAAACAACGGGAAAUGACAAAGAAUGAGGAACUUGGUGAGAAAGUGUUUACAAAAA